rnacentral:tRNA from 1 species
AGUUAAUAAGCCUAAUGAAUAGGCAUUUGUUUUGAAAACAUAUAAUAGAAGUUUAAAUCUCCUAUUAACUU